rnacentral:rRNA from 1 species
AACGAACGCUGGCGGCAGGCUUAACACAUGCAAGUCGAGCGCCUCGCAAGAGGAGCGGCAGACGGGUGAGUAACGCGUGGGAAUCUACCGGGCCCUAAGGAAUAACGCAUGGAAACGUGUGCUAAUACCUUAUACGUCCUUCGGGAGAAAGAUUUAUCGGGGUUUGAUGAGCCCGCGGUGGAUUAGCUAGUUGGUGGGGUAAAGGCCUACCAAGGCGACGAUCCAUAGCUGGUCUGAGAGGAUGAUCAGCCACAUUGGGACUGAGACACGGCCCAAACUCCUACGGGAGGCAGCAGUGGGGAAUAUUGGACAAUGGGCGCAAGCCUGAUCCAGCCAUGCCGCGUGAGUGAUGAAGGCCUUAGGGUUGUAAAGCUCUUUCACCGAUGAAGAUAAUGACGGUAGUCGGAGAAGAAGCCCCGGCUAACUUCGUGCCAGCAGCCGCGGUAAGAC